CGGAAUUACUGGGAGUAAAGCGCACGUAGGCGGACCAGCAAGUUAGGGGUGAAAUCCCGGGGCUCAACCCCGGAACUGCCUUGAAAACUGUUGGUCUCGAGUUCGAGAGAGGUGAGUGGAAUUCCGAGUGUAGAGGUGAAAUUCGUAGAUAUUCGGAGGAACACCAGUGGCGAAGGCGGCUCACUGGCUCGAUACUGAAGCUGAGGUGCGAAAGCGUGGGGAGCAAACAG
rnacentral:rRNA from 1 species